UCAACUUUUGCAAACUACCAUUUUUAACUUAUUCAUUGUCAUUCCAUAUAACAUAUCUAUAAUUAUAAGUCAUCACACUUAUCACUCAACAACAUGUAUGAUUUAUAUCACCAAUUCAACUCGAUAAGUAAAGGUUAAAGCAAACUUCUCAUAAUGAAGCAUAUUUACAUGCUAAGUUAUACCAUAGGACGCCUUAAAUACAUGCCACAAUCUUUGACUCAAAAUGAUCAAAAGCUAUCAAUUCAGUGAUGGGAUAGUGUAAACUUUGAAUCCGUCCAACUUAACACGUUUUGCAAAGUGACGAUCUACAAGGAAAAAGGAAAGCAAACAAGUCAAGCAUAAAAAAUGCUUAGUAAGUUCAUAU
rnacentral:lncRNA from 1 species